rnacentral:rRNA from 1 species
ACCCGCUGAAUUUAAGCAUAUAAGUAAGUGGUGGAAAUUAAACCAAAUGGGAUAUCUUUAGUAAUUGCGAAUGAACAAGGAUAUGCUUAGCUUGACAAAUGGAGCUAUUGGCUUUGAAUUGUAUUGUGGAAAUGUAUUACCAACAGAGGUGCAGGUGCCAGCCUAUUGAAAUAAAGCGUCAAUGAGGGUGAGAAUCCUGUUUGUCAUGUGCAGCCCUUUGUGCACGGUGUAUAUUUGCUGAGUCACACUCCUUGGCAUUGGAAUGCAAAGUGGGUGGUAAGUUUCAUGUAAAGGUAAACAUGCAAUUGAGACUGAUAGCACACAAGUACCAUGAGGGGAAUAUGAAAAGGACUUUGAAAAGAGAAUUAAAUGAGUUUGUAUUUGCUGAACACAAAGUAAACAGACUUGAUUUGCUUGGUGGGAGUGUUGCACUUGCUUGACAAGAGCUUUGGGCUGUGGGUGUAAUGAUUCUUUCUUUGCAUGCCAGUUUCUAUUUGUACAUCUGAUUACCUUUGCACAUGAAUGAUAAGUCUCCUGUGGGGGGUGGAUUGCAUGUGCAUGUAAUGAUUUGUGUUUUGAUAAAUGUGUCUGGUGUAUGUGUGUGUUCCUGUGCUUGGGGAUGCUUCCUUCCUUGGACUUACAAGCCCUGACACACACAUGCUGGCAAAAUGCUUCUGCUUGACCCGUCUUGAAACACGGACCAAGG